AAAAAGUUAGUUUAAAAUAAAACAUUAACUUGUCAAGUUAAAAAUAUUAAAUUAAUACUUUUUA
rnacentral:tRNA from 1 species